CCUACUGAUAAGGACAUCGUUACUAGAUCAAACCAGUUCAUUGUCACGUCGACAGCCGAAAUCAUGGACCGUCUCCUGCUCUUGCUCACACUAACAUGCUUGUUAGGUGCCGUCACUGUACAGGCCCAACUCGUCACACCGUUUCAGAUUUGUGAGAUGAAAUGUUUCCAAGACAAACACCUGCCAACUGGCGUAACAUUUGACAAUCAGGAAGCUGUUGCAUGUCGGGAUUAUUGUUUUAAGCAUGCAUAUGACGACUUGAUGGGCUGAUUCAGCCGGCCUAUGUCCGGCGACAUUAGUGUGAAUUCAAAUUUAUUGAUAUUAAUAUUUGAAUAUGGAAAAUAUAUAUAUCUGUACCCAUACGGAAA